CCCUUCACUACGGAAUAGCCUCUGGAAACGGAGAGUAAUACCGUAUACGCCCUUUUGGGGAAAGAUUUAUCGGUGAAGGAUUAGCCCGCGUCUGAUUAGAUAGUUGGUGGGGUAACGGCCUACCAAGUCGACGAUCAGUAGCUGGUUUGAGAGGAUGAUCAGCAACACUGGGACUGAGACACGGCCCAGACUCCUACGGGAGGCAGCAGUGGGGAAUCUUAGACAAUGGGCGCAAGUGAUCUAGCCAUGCCGCGUGAGUGACGAAGGCCUUAGGGUCGUAAAGCUCUUUCGCCAGGGAUGAUAAUGACAGUACCUGGUAAAGAAACCCCGGCUAACUCCGUGCCAGCAGCCGCGGUAAUACGGAGGGGGUUAGCGUUGUUCGGAAUUACUGGGCGUAAAGCGCGCGUAGGGGAUUGGAAAGUUGGGGGUGAAAUCCCGGGGCUCAACCCCGAACUGCCUCCAAAACUAUCAGUCUAGAGUUCGAGAGAGGUGAGUGGAAUUCCGAGUGUAGAGGUGAAAUUCGUAGAUAUUCGGAGGAACACCAGUGGCGAAGCGGCUCACUGGCUCGAUACUGACGCUGAGGUGCGAAAGUGUGGGGAGCAAACAGGAUUAGAUACCCUGGUAGUCCACACCGUAAACGAUGAAUGCCAGUCG
rnacentral:rRNA from 1 species